CGCUAUUACUCCUACGGGAGGCAGCAGUAGGGAAUCUUCCACAAUGGGCGCAAGCCUGAUGGAGCAACACCGCGUGAGUGAAGAAGGGUUUCGGCUCGUAAAGCUCUGUUGUUAAAGAAGAACACGUAUGAGAGUAACUGUUCAUACGUUGACGGUAUUUAACCAGAAAGUCACGGCUAACUACGUGCCAGCAGCCGCGGUAAUACGUAGGUGGCAAGCGUUAUCCGGAUUUAUUGGGCGUAAAGAGAGUGCAGGCGGUUUUCUAAGUCUGAUGUGAAAGCCUUCGGCUUAACCGGAGAAGUGCAUCGGAAACUGGAUAACUUGAGUGCAGAAGAGGGUAGUGGAACUCCAUGUGUAGCGGUGGAAUGCGUAGAUAUAUGGAAGAACACCAGUGGCGAAGGCGGCUACCUGGUCUGCAACUGACGCUGAGACUCGAAAGCAUGGGUAGCGAACAGGAUUAGAUACCCUGGUAG
rnacentral:rRNA from 1 species